UACAGAGGGUGCAAGCGUUAAUCGGAAUUACUGGGCGUAAAGGGCGCGUAGGUGGCCUUCUAAGUUGAACGUGAAAUCCCUGGGCUCAACCCAGGAACUGCGUCCAAGACUGGGAGGCUUGAAUCCGGGAGAGGGAUGUGGAAUUCCAGGUGUAGCGGUGAAAUGCGUAGAUAUCUGGAGGAACACCGGUGGCGAAGGCGACAUCCUGGACCGGUAUUGACGCUGAGGCGCGAAAGCCAGGGGAGCAAACGGG
rnacentral:rRNA from 1 species